AAAUUUUCCAUCCUCACCUGCUCUGUGCCACAAAUGAUUUGGGUGACGUUUGAAGUAGUUUUAAUGUGCACAUUCCACUUGAAACUAACAUCUCGCCCAAUACUUAACUUCACUUUUUCUGAAGAAUUUGUGCCAGUUCGUUGCCUGACCUCACGGCAGCAACUCCUAAGGUGCUGUUUUGGGCCGGAUUCAUUUUGAAACUCUCCUGUCUACGCUUCAAGUUCGAUGGUAUGGACUAACCUUUUCAAGAAUCUUUGGCUCCUGUUCACCUUGGAAACUAUGGAUUAAAGCAACCCAUGGAAGCUUAGCUUGAGCUCAGUCGGGACUUUGGACGCAUGCGUGGGCACGUGCUGAAGUGGAUGUCGUCUGCGCUACGACUUACCUCGAUGGUACACCUGACGUUUUGGAUGAUACCACUACCUUGACCCCGGCAUCUUACCUCUGCGAGGGCGUGGAUCAGCUCCAAGAAGCGGCACCUCACCAGCGAUUCACCGAAGGAUUUUUUAGCACUUCAGAAUUUUCGGGUUGGGCAGACGCAGGAGCGAGUUGCGGCUCCUUUGCCUCUUCACGCUUAUUGAAGAGGAGCCGCUACCAAAAUUAGGCAGCACCAAACUAACUAUCUCGUGGAAUUGAUGGCUAUUUAUACCAUCUUGAAACUUUUUAAAUAAAGAAAAGAUUUCUUUAGCCUCCAGUU
rnacentral:lncRNA from 1 species